ACCUUCUGGAACAGCAUCUGUCAACCCCAGAAGACUUCAGCAGCACCAUGAUAAACAACAAUGUCUUCCACUGUGGCUUUACAAAACCCUACCAGGUGGCUGUUUACAAUGAUUUGUCCCCUUCAGAGAUUUUUAUUCCACUGCAUUGAACUUAAGCAGCGUCUAGACCAGCAACACUCUCACAAUGCAAAGCAGUGGAGAUGAUCAGGAUCUUUACCGGAUCAAAACUGAGCAUAACCCAAGGUUCAUUCUAUGAAAGUACCAACAUCUGUCUCUAUAUAUUUUAGAUCUCAUAAUCAUAUGGUAUAUAGUGUAGUCAUAUC